GACUGUGGUGUAGGUCACAGACGCGGCUUGGAUCUGGGGUUGCUGUGGCUCUGGUGUAGGCCAGCGGCUAUAGCUCCAGUUUGAUCUCUAGCCUGGGAACCUCCAUAUGCCACAGGUUCGGCCCUAAAAAGACAAAAGACAACAAACAAAUAAAGAGUAAAUAAGUGUUAGAGUUUGGGAUUAAUAGAUACAUACCACUAUACAUAGAGUAGAUAAACACAGAGAUUUACUGUAUCGCACAGGGAACAAUAUUUAAUGUCUUGUAAUCACCUGCAAAGGAAAAGGAAUCAAGUUAGCCAGCUGACUCACUUAGCUGUACACUUGAGACCAUCACAAAGUUGUAAAUUAAGCAUACUUCAGUAAAAAAGGAAAAAAAACUACAAAAAAGGAGUAAAUAAGUAUUAAAUAUUCAAGUAACCGCUAUUAUAAUGUUUUAUUCUCUCAGUAUCUAAUCCCUGCUUGGUUCUUCUGAACGAAUACUAUGACCUUUCUUUUCAAAUCAUCUCUCUAUCUAUCUAUCUCUGAAUCUUCUUUCAAGUGUAUUCUUUACUUUGUAUCUUAAGACUCUGCUUUGUUUUGAAAAUAUAGACUUGGAUCUCAUUUCAAAUAUCUGUCUUGCCUUGUUUACUAUCAUUCUAUAUCAUUCAAGUGAUUAUUAGCAACGUCUUUUGGAGUUUGUUUGCCUGGAACAUAAGACUCACCUCCCAUCUCCCCUGUUGAGCCCCAAACCAUUCCUGGAAAAGUGUAGCUGUGGGGAAUCUUAGGCGGUCCCCAUGGAUGACGAGGAACUCACGCAGUAGAGGCUUUCAGACCUGAGGUUGAGUCUCUGGCUUCAAGCUCGUGGUUGAUCUCACUGGUUUGGUUCUGCAUUCAAAUCUCAAGGGAAUGAUAAAAGACAAAAUCAGACAAACAAAAAUCAACAGCAACAGCAAACACAUUGAAAAUUCUGAGUCUGAAAUCUUAUUUCCACCACAGUUAGUGAGGGCAGCCAGGACUGUAGGGACCUGCCCUAGUGUCGGGGCUCCCCUCACCACUGUGCCUGCUCCCUACAUGUCCCUGGGAACAGCAGGGAGAGAAGUCACCUGAUUCUUCUGUGGGCAAAAACCUGGCAUUGGGCUAAAAUAUGUUGUAGGAGGCUAUGUUCUGUGAAAGAGGACGUGGUUUUCUGAAAGGACUUGCAGUCUUUACCAGGGACUGGGCUGUCAGGAGGUGCUGUGGCUUUUAGAGUUUAAUGAGUAAAUUUAAAUGUUGGAUGCAAAUUAGGCUUAAUAUUAAUUCUAACUUCAAAGAGCAAAGGAGAUAGUUAAACAGCCCCAGGAGGCUUUUUUUCUGACUAGACAAGCCUAUUGCCAGCACACAGACAUAAUGUGAUAGCUUUCUGAUGGCUUCUGCCUAGCCACAUGGAAGUAAAAACAUAACGGUGUAAAGAGAAAGGGGCUUUUUUUUCACACAGACCUGGGGCGGAUGGCCAGAAUCUCCGCAGCGCUCCACCGUCCUCAGGCUGAGCCAGACAGUGAGUGGCUUCGGGUGGCAGUCCCUUGAAUCCUUGACAGACACAUCAGGAGGUGCUGCCGCUGCUCACCCGCCACCUGCCUGCAAUGAUCCCGCCUGUCAGACUGCGCCCAGCCUCCAGAGGUGCCAAAUUCUAUUAGCAGGGGAGAGUAAUAUUUUCAUACCUGCCCUUCUAAUCACCAUCCUCCUGCCAGUGGAUUAAUUAAAAAGCAUAUUCAAAUACAUUAGGUACAAACACAGCAUCCCUCUUCAGAUGCAAAUGCAAUCAAUAGAUACCAAGAUGAUUUACAUAAUGAUAAAAGGUAAAGGAAUUCUUUAGAAUGUGGCUUUGGGGGCAACAAUUUAACAAUCUCUUCUGCGUCACUUGUAAGCUAAGCCUGUCUGGAAGGCAUAACCUGCUCUCUGCUAUGUUCCUCAGCAGACACUCGCUCUAGGAUGCAGGGCACUCUCCCCACCUCCAAGCCCUCCUGGUUCAAUACCCCCCACCCUCUACUCCCUUACUCCCUCCCCUCAGUACGCAUGCGCAUGCCCCAGGCAGGCAGGGCUGAGUCGAUCUUUUGCAUUUGCCCACCCUGUGCUCUGAGAGGGCUUUCCUUGUAAGCCUGAGACUGGAGAAGCUCAGUGUCCUCCUCCUGGCCAUCCAUGCUUAGCUGAUUAGAUGCUCUACACCGGAAGGGAUUUCUGAGGCCGUCUCAUGACACCCCCCCGCCCCCCGCCCCCGGAGACUGAGACCCUGAGCAAAGAGAUGUGUGGUCCAAAGCGACGCUGAAUACAAUUAAUGAUAGAGGGGGACUUAGAGUUACACCAGCCCUGAGCCAAAGCCCAGAAACCAGCGAGGUGGUCCAUCAGGGAAGCUUCCUUCCUUCAUGUCAUCACUGUUACACGACGGCACUUGGCCUCCGCGCUGCGAGCCUCUUGUGAGAUGCUUGAUGUUAAAAAACUCAGAGAUCAGAACUCACUUGCUGUGGGCUGGAGAGCUCCAAAAGCGGAAGGCACAUCUCUUGUCCUAAGGGAUCCUGUAUCUGAGAUAUUUUUGUUUAUAAGAACCCUUAUAAACACGUUUUCUGUCUGUAAGAAUGCUUUUUACAUCAGAAAAAAAAAAUUGGGGUCUUUAGACAACUGAAAUUGUGUGAAAGCACAUAUUAUUUAAGAAGAUAAAAAAAUAACAGAAAGUACUGUAAAUCUAGUACAUACAUUUGAAAAAUAGCUUACAUAUGUGAUCACAUGUUUUUUUCAGCCUAUAGUCAAUGCUUGAUGUGCCUUUGUUUUUGUUUUUUCAGUUUUUGUCUUUUUAGGGCCACACCUGCAGCAUAUGGAAGUUCCCAGGCUAGGGACUGGGUCAGAGCUGCAGCUGCCAGGCUGCACCACAGCCACAGCCACACAGGAUCUGAGCCACAUCUGUGACCUUUAGUGCAGCUUGCGGCAACAUCAGAUCCUUAACCCACUGAGCAAGGCCAGGGAUUGAACCUACAUCUUCUCGGAUACGAGUAAGUUCUUAACCGGCUGAGCCACAAGGAGAACUCCAUGCUUUUGGAUAUGUACAUUCUUCAAUGUCUCUAUGGUCCCCAGGAGUGCGUGGUUUAGAGACACUAGAGAAGUGAUCUCCUGUCUUGGAGCCUGCGAUUCCUGGAAUGGAAACUGUUGGGUGGUUUCUUAAGAACCUGAGAUGAAUGGUGACCACCCAAGACACUCUUCCCUCCAGCCAUCCCGAAACAAGGCGAGUCUUGACCAGAGAAGGGACUGGAGGGGCGGGGGCAGUGGGGAGCUCCAAAACAUCGAAUCCUUUCUCAGAAGGANGUGGAACCGGGCCCCUGAGCAUAAGGCGAAUGACUAAAAAAAGUCAUUAUAAGCCACCAUUAUUAAGUAGCGACUAAGCCGCAGAAACUGCAAAAGGAGAUGAGACAGAUAUGGAUAUGGAAACAGAUGUAGAUAUACUCCCCCCGCCCCCGCCCCAACCAAACCCAGGGCUGGCAUUCACCAGUUUUGGCAAUGCGCUGUGCUUUGGCACUUUCCGUCACAUUGCAGCAGCUCAGAGAAAUUAAACAGGAAUUCCAAUCUUCCUUGGCAUCUCUCAAAGUGCAUUAAAAUGAUUACAUUCAAGCCUCGCAGUAAAAUCCCCCAAGGUUUCCUUUCUGUCUUCAGUCUCCCAUACAUGCAGCCUCUCGCUUGGCAAAUACUCCAGAAUGUUCCCUGAGACGUGGGUGUUCUCGCUGCUGUCUCUUCCUCCCUUACCUCUCCUUUGCUUGAGAGCUUACCAGGUUCUAACCUCUCUCCCAGCAGGUAUAGUUUCUCUGCUGGCCCAAUAGGCUGAUUCUCCACAUCAAAGGACAAGGCAGGGGCUGACCCAACAGGUAAGAGCCUGACUCCUGCCCUCUUUCUCUCUCCUUCCAUUUGCCCUUCUGUACCACAAAAAGCCAGACAACAGGUGGGCAGAGACAGAACUCUCUGGAAAGGUCACGGGUGAAGAAGAGCUACAAUAAAAUUCUCCAAGGCUGGACAGGGUGAGAUGAGGAGGUAAAGAAAGAAGGACAGAAAUGACAAGGUGACAAGUCUGGUCUAGUCACAGACAUCUUAGGAUUUAAUCUCCAUCCAACCCUAUGAGGGAGAUGGAAUGAGCCUCGUAUUAAAAGGAAGAAAAAGGGGCUCAGAGAGGCUAACCAGGAUGGCAAGAGGUUAAAAAGAAAAAGCACCACGGUGCUGCCUUGACUCAGGGGAGAUCCUACCCCCUCUCCAAGCUUUGGGAGCAUUUUGAUCCUAAGAAUUGAAUUCUGGUCCAAACAAUUCCAGUGGUUCCCUGGUGGGGUCUUGGUGUUUUCUGGUCAUCCUUACCAUUUGCCUGGUCCCAAUCAAGUUCCAUUCUAGGCAUUUGGUUUGCUUAGACCCAGACCUUCAUGCUACGGAGUCGUGCUAUGGUGUGGUUGUUCUGGAGAGAAAAUGCCAUUUUUCUUUAGGUUUUCUACAGACACUCUGGCCACGCCAACCUGGUUUCCACUUUCAAGCACAGCUUCGUUAGCUUGUCCUUCUGCCCUUGAAAGUGUUUCAUAACCAUGCACCCCUUGGCUCCAUGGGUUUCAUAGCCAUGCACCCUUUGCCUCCCUUCCCAGGCUCUGCGGGGUAGGACUGCAGCCACCUAAUAAUUGUCAUGCUGCUGGUUCCAUAGGAGGCAAGAGAAAAGUGGGUGCCUAUUAUGGGCUGAACUUUGUCCCUGCAAAAAUCUUACAUUGAGGGUGUUCCUAUCGUGGAGCAGUGGUUAACGAAUCUGACCAGGAACCAUGAGGUUGCAGAUUCGGUCCCUGCCCUUGUUCAGUGGGUUAAUGAUCCAGCGUUGCCGUGAGCUGUGGUGUAGGUUGCAGACGCGGCUCGGAACCCGAGUUGCUGUGGCUCUGUCAUAGACCAGUGGCUACAGCUCCGAUUGGACCCCUAGCCUGGGAACCUCCAUAUGCCGCAGGAGCGGCCCAAGAAAUAGAAAAAAAAAAAAAAAA
rnacentral:lncRNA from 1 species